AACAACAAACUCGGGCAAAAUGUGGGUGUUCAUGUGGUUACUCCACACAAUAUACUUCUUGGGAGAUGAAACAUUGUCUAUGCCCGAAUCAAACUCCUCAGAACUCGGAUGAAACUGCUCAGAACCAGGAUGCACAACUUCCAUGGUACCCAGUAUAACGCGGCACAACAACAAAUGGCGUAGACCAUCAUUACCUUCCCUCAUAUGCUUCACAACUUCAAGAGGAGAAUUAUCCGGGNNNNNNNNNUAUCCAUAUAAUCCAUUAUUGUCAUUAAUCUGGCCACCAAAACCAUUCUUCAUUAUGUUGCAUA
rnacentral:misc_RNA from 1 species